rnacentral:rRNA from 1 species
CGAAAGCCUGACGGAGCAAGACCGCGUGGGGGAAGAAGGCUCUUGGGUUGUAAACCCCUUUUCUCUGGGAAGAAAGUUGUGAAAGCAACCUGACGGUACCAGAGGAAUCAGCAUCGGCUAACUCCGUGCCAGCAGCCGCGGUAAGACGGAGGAUGCAAGCGUUAUCCGGAAUGAUUGGGCGUAAAGCGUCCGCAGGUGGCAGUUCAAGUCUGCUGUCAAAGACCGGGGCUUAACUUCGGAAAGGCAGUGGAAACUGAACAGCUAGAGUAUGGUAGGGGCAGAGGGAAUUCCUGGUGUAGCCGGUGAAAUGCGUAGAGAUCAGGAAGAACAUCGGUGGCGAAGGCGCUCUGCUGGACCAUAACUGACACUCAGGGACUAAAGCUAGGGGAGCG